AAUCUUCCGCAAUGGACGAAAGCCUGACGGCGCAAUGCCGCGUGCGGGAUGAAGGUCUUAGGGUCGUAAAACUCUGUUGUUAGGGCAGAAUAGGUAUCGGAGUACUAUGCCGGUACUUUCACGCUCCCUUACCAGAAAGCCCCGCCUCCCUACGUGCCACCCGCCGCGGUAAUACGUCGGGGGCGAGCGUUGCCCGGAACUAUUGGGCGUAAAGGGCGAGCAGGCGGUUUCUUAAGUCUGAUGUGAGAUCUCGUGGCUUAACCACGAGCGGUCGUUGGAAACUGGGAAACUUGAGUAAAGAAGAGGAGAGUGGAAUUCCACGUGUAGCGGUGAAAUGCGUAGAGAUGUGGAGGAACACCAGUGGCGAAGGCGGCUCUCUGGUCUGUAACUGACGCUGAGGUGCGAAAGCGUGGGGAGAAAACA
rnacentral:rRNA from 1 species